AGUGAGCCGACAUCGCACCAUUGCACUCCAGCAGGGCAACAAGAGCAAAACUCCAUCUCAAAAAAAAAAAAGGGAAAAGAGAAAGUAGCCUACAGGGCCUAUGAAAGAGACUUCUUAUCCUCACUGAUUGAAAAACAUCAGCAACUUAAAAACGCAUGAACCAGGAGUGGGCAUAAACGCAUGAGCCAGGGGCGGGCAUCGCAAGUGUCCGUUCUCUCAGCUUCCAGGUAUCAUUGCAAAGACAUUCUCGGCGUCAUAGGUUCUGAAAUCUUAAGAAUUCCUCAUUCAGAGGGGAGAGUUGUUUAUAAACUCUUCUAAGGAAAGGCUGGUUUUCUAAUUUAUAAGGAGAUUAUGGGACAUUGGAAUCUGAUCUUUGAAGAAAUUUAGCGGCUAGGGUUGAGCUCUGAAGAGUUCUGAUGUGGCUCUGUCUCCUCCUUGGGGCUCUAAGGGGCUGAUUCAGUCAUUUUACUUCCCAUUUAUUAUUCUCUUCCUUAUGUGUUAUUCUUUUAAAUGUGGAAACUUGAAAGCUGAGUUUGUUAGACCCCAGUACUUGUGUCGUUGGCUGUGACUGCGUUUGCACUGGCGUGAGCUGACAAACCACAAGCUUCUUCAGAAGUGACUGCACGCAGUGGAGAGGAUUGUGUUGUUCUUAUAGAGUACAACCUUUAUAAUCAAAUAGCAUGCACUGCCUUUGCCUUCUUCAGUCACUCAAGGUUGACAAGCAGUUUCUAUUUCAAAAUAAAUUACAGCACUUGUUAAGGGACCUGUGUAAAUAUUUCAAUAUUUUUGGUUGUGAUUUUUAGCUAUAAAGCUUCACAUCUUAGUACUUUUUAAAACAUUGCUCCUAAAUCGACCAGGGGGUGAGUCGAAGUGGGUCUGUCAUACCUUAGAUGACAUUAAAGGGUUAACUUGUAAAUCAUUUUUAAGAUGUUGACUAAUAGUAUCUGUUUAUCGUUAAGAAGCAUAACAGUUGAACUUUGACAUUUUUAUCAGUGACUCAGCAAUUUGCUGCCGUGGCUGGCAAUUUUUCUUCAUGUGUUUUGGGAACAACAUGUGGAGUAAAGGAGAGAGAGUUUACUUCCUAUUUUUCACAUUUACAGUUUGUGCAGUCCAGAAUCUCAAGGAAAGAUAUUUGACAUUUUUUUCUCUGUUGCUUUCCCUUCAGAGAGGUGAGUGACUUCAGAGGCUGCCCUUCUCUUCAUCUGCUGGUUGUGAAAGGAAAACAUCUUGGGCCUCCAAAAUCACUAAGGAAAACUCAAGCUGGAAACUGCUUAGGGCCAACCUGCCUCCCGUUCUACUCAGUCACCCCUCUGCUCACUGAGAUAGAGGCAUAUCUGAUUGCUCCCUUUGGAAAAGCUAAUCAGAAACUCAGAAGAAUGCAACCCUUUCUGUCUCACCUGUCGGUGACCUGGAAGUGCCCUCCCACUUUGAGUCUUCCUGUCUUUGCUUCAAGACGUCCCGCCUUUCCAGACAGAACCGGUGGACUUCUUACAUAUAUUGAUUGAUGUCUCAUGUCUCCCUAAAAUGCGUAAAACCAAGCUGUGCCCAGACCACCUUGGAGACAUGUCGUUAGGACCUCCUGAUGCUUUGUCACGGGCAUGUCCUCAACCUUGGCAAAGAAGACAUCUGUUGUACUGAAAUCUGAAGUCACUCUCGGGCAGAAAGGAAGGCUUGGGAGGCUUGGAGACUGCGGUUGGAAACCUGGCCCUCCCGCUUGCUAGCUGCAUCGCUUUAAGUCUGGGUCUCCCCAGCUCAUCCUCCCGAGUGUCACCAGGCUGUGGGGGGUGCACAUCAGGCCGAGAGUCACCGAGGGCUGGCGGUCUGCAGAGAGGAUGGACACCCUGCAGAGAGGAUGGACACCCUGGAUGAGC